CAGCCAUGGUACACACUUUUCUGUGGACUUUCCUGUGCUUCAAAUACAUCUAUAAUGAGGGACACCAGAUGUGAGGAUGGAACAGACCUCUAAAGGACAAAAUGUUACAUCUGGGAGCAGGGCCACUGAAACCUGUUUCCAUAAAAAAAAAAAAAAAAAAAAAAAAAAAAAAAGCUUAUGUUUGGAUUAGACCAAAUGUGGAUCAAUUAAACUACAAAUUAAAGAGCUUUUGAAUAUCCAUGAAUUACAUUCUUGAUACAGAGUCUUCUUAUCAUGACCACAGGAUGCCUUUUCUGACCCAAAGUGGGGACAACCAUGCAUGAGAUCACUCCAGAAUUAUCUUGGGAACGGAGUUCCUGCCAUCUCCUAAAGCUCCCCAGCCUGCUUCUCACCCAGUCAGUCUGAGGAUUUGAAUGACAUUGAAGCCUUCAGCACUCCCUACCUGCAAUGGCUUGUCUGCAAACAUUUGCCAACUGGCUGAAUUUUUCCUUAGCCUCCAGUGCUGUGUGGACUCCUCAAUUGAUAAUUCAGUGAGAUGGCAGAUUUCCUCAGAAGCAGAAGAAACCAAGAGUUGUACCACCAUAUCAAAGAUCUUCAACCAACAGCAGGGCCAAAGGCCAAGCUUGGAUUGAAAUGGCAAAACUGACUGCCUAAGUCUUUAUAUCAUAAAGGGCAGUGGUUGGCUUCGAG
rnacentral:lncRNA from 1 species